UAAACCAGUAUUUCUGUAGCUAGUCAGAAGAGGGCAGCAUGUAGAUCUCCAGAGUUUCCUGGUUGGCUGCUUUGACUGUGGAGCACUCGGCGUUUGUUUUUGGCGCCCACAGCCAGAGCGACUGCACUCCCCCGAACCUCACAGGUGGAGUUACCGUGACAACGACAGACGCAGCCGCUCACCCAGAUGCAGGAGCAGAUCUCCAAAGAAGCAAAGCCCAUCACCUCGGAGAGACCUCCCGUUAUGUGGCGUUCUGGAGAAGAUAAUCCUUUGAUCAACCUAUAUUACACUUCACGACAACAACAAAAAGUGUUUCUGAAGUAAAACUGUGAUUUCUUUUAAUAUAUUUUAUUAAUUAAUUGUUAUUGUCAGCAGGUCAUCACCGGAGCCACAAACACCGUCCCCACAGCAAGUCUCCUGAG